ACGGUGCCUCGAUCCGUAGGACGGCCUUCGGAUGGUCAACUGCUUUCGUACGGAACGAAAAGGUCCUCUCUAAUACAGGGGGAGCAUGACGGUACCGUAAGAAUAAGCACCGGCUAACUACGUGCCAGCAGCCGCGGUAAUACGUAGGGUGCAAGCGUUAAUCGGAAUUACUGGGCGUAAAGCGUGCGCAGGCGGUUAUAUAAGACAGAUGUGAAAUCCCCGGGCUCAACCUGGGAACUGCAUUAGUGACUGUAUAGCUAGAGUGCGGCAGAGGGGGAUGGAAUUCCGCGUGUACCAGUGAAAUGCGUAAAUCUGCGGAGGAACACCGAUGGCGAAGGCAAUCCCCUGGGCCUGUACUGACGCUCAUGCACGAAAGCGUGGGGAGCAAACAGGAUUAGAUACCCUGGUAGUCCACGCCCUAAACGAUGUCAACUGGUUGUUGGGAAUUCACUGACUCAGUAACGAAGCUAACGCGUGAAGUUGACCGCUGGGGAGUACGGCCGCAAGGUUGAAACUCAAA
rnacentral:rRNA from 1 species